GGCCGCGUGGCCUAAUGGUUUAUCUGUCGGUAUCCAUAUAAGGCGUCUGACUUCGAAUCAGAAGAUUGUGGGUUCGACUCCCCCCGUGGUCG
rnacentral:tRNA from 2 species